rnacentral:rRNA from 1 species
UACGAACCGUACAAACGUUAUUCGGAAUCACUGGGCUUAAAGGGUGCGUAGGCGGCCAUGUAAGUGGGGUGUGAAAUCCCUCGGCUCAACCGAGGAACUGCGCUCCAUACUGCAUGGCUUGAGGGAGACAGGGGUAAGCGGAACUGAUGGUGGAGCGGUGAAAUGCGUUGAUAUCAUCAGGAACACCGGUGGCGAAGGCGGUUCUCUGGGAAUGUCCUGACGCUGAGGAGCGAAAGCGUGGGGAGCGAACAGG